UCAUGAUGUCAAAGGACUUCAAGGA
rnacentral:misc_RNA from 1 species